ACAAUCUGAAAAUUACCUGCAGCACUUUUAUUGCGGUGGGUGAGAUAAUUGUGCCCAUAGAAAGGUGGUCCAUUAAGCUUAUCGCCAGCUCUGUAGUUGCGCGAUGAAACCCAUGUGCCUACAUUA